UCAGUCGGCCGGACGGCCGCUCCGGCAGGUGCCGAAAGGCCGCCGGGGAGGAAAGUCCGGGCUCCCUUGACAUGCGGUGCCGGAUAACGUCCGGCGGGGGCAACCCCAGGGAAAGUGCCACAGAGAACGAACCGCCCGCCUUCGCCCCUUCGGGGCUUCGGCGAGGUAAGGGUGAAAAGGUGCGGUAAGAGCGCACCGCGGAUCCGGCAACGGAGCCGGCAUGGCAAACCCCACCGGGAGCAAAACCGAAUAGGGACGGCGUAGCGGGCCGUUCGCGAAAGCGAUAACGCCGCGGGGCGAUGUCAGGCCCGCCGUCCGGGUAGGUUGCUCGAGGCCAUGUGCAAACAUGGUCCCAGAGGAAUGGCCGUCACGUAUCGUUUGCGCAAGCAGGCGGUGCCCUACAGAACCCGGCUUACAGGCCGGCUGAUAUC
rnacentral:RNase_P_RNA from 1 species